UGCAAAAAUAUUUAAUAAAUUUCAAUUGGUAUUCUAUUGUUUAACAGUGCGAUUAAUCGCAAUUAAUUUUUUUGAGUUAAUCCUGUGAGUUAACUGUGAUUAAUUGACAGCCCUAAUUAAAAUCCACUAAUUUGCACUGCUUAUAGAAUUCUCACAUGCCCUAGAUUUUAGUAUGAAUUAGGACAUUUAUGCAAUAUUAAGCAGUGUACAUUUUAAAACUAUUAAGAGCUGGUUGGAUUAAAAAUCUGGGCAAUUGGAUUUCAUCAAAGACCAAAGAUGAGAGUCCCUGUCUUAACCAAUGACCUAACACACUUCCUGUAAAGUGUCACAAUUGGCCUUGAAUCUCACUCUUUAGGGAUGUAAAUUUAACUCUUAAGGACAGCCAACCCUUGGCAUCUCUGCCUGGCAGAGCCUCCCAGGCCAGACAUGCCCGCCGUCAUUGCAUCUCAGUCCCAUCCAGUUGGCACCCCACUAAUGAGGUUCCUGCCAUGAGGCCACUAAUGGUUCCUGCCAUUCGGGGCAAGGCGCACACAAGGGAAGGAAAGGGGUGAUAGGAACAGGGCAGGGGAGAAGAGGGUAACAAUGGCAGAUGUGGAGUGACACUGAGCUGAAAGAGACUGUGAGGGAGAGGGAGAGUUGGAGCAAACAGCUAAUCAGUACAGGAGAAAGAAAUCCAGUUAAAACUGAAGAAAGUUCUGCAAAUAUCCAGAAGUCCCUGUUUUGGCUGCUACUGGUCCUACGCAUCUCUGAUUUACACUUGUUUUACGCUGGUGUAACCCCAUUUACUUCAAUGGAGAUAACUCCUAUUCAUACUGGUGCAAGUGAAAAGAGAAUCAAGUCACUUUUGUACUCAGGAUAAAAGACAUCAGAACUUCGGAUAACCAGGAGUUACAGAUAACUGGUGUUCAGAUUAUCAAAGUUGGACUCCUCCACAUUAAAUUGUGUUUUGCUUUUAAGGGACAGGGUAAUUAAGCCUCCCACCCCUCCAAAAAUUAAAAUGUAUAAUAAAUUGAUCUCUCUUGGACUACCCCAGCCAGUGAGCAUGCAUAAUCAUAAAUAUUAGUAGGAUCAGACCCACUGAAGUGCUCAUCACCUCCAAGAACAGGCUCCAAAUAAGAGCACCAAGCCACUGACGUUGCUUCAUAGCAUUAUUCCUAUAUUUAGCACACCCACAAGAGUUACCUUUAGAAAUGUAGUAGAGCGGAUCCCAUGCAAGACAGUCCUCAACAUGAAUAUUUUUCAACCUUUCUCAGGUCUGCUAUUUGACUGUAGGUCGCAUUGGGCAGUUAUCCAUGAUUAGAAUCCACUGGGUUUGAAAUGAUAAUAAGAGAAAUCAAUAGUACACCUCCAAAUUCAUGAAUUAAAUAAAUUAAAUUAAAGUGAUGAAAUUGUGCAAGAUUGGAAACAAAUUACAAAUAUAACAUAUUUUAGAAUUUUUAAAUGUGUAUAUCUUCCACAUUAUGUAAGAACCAAAUUUCCUUCUCUAAGUUUUAAAAACAUUGUGACUACUAGAUAUUGUAGUCAUAAUAACCAAAAUAAAUUUAUAAUUCUGUAGUCCCAUGCAACCAAGGAUCUCAAAGCAUUUACAAGCAGUGAAUGAAGUCUCAUAACUAUCCUGUGAGGUAGAUAAAUAUGAUUAUGCCAGUUUUGCAGAAGGGGAAAAGAGGUGAGAGGUUUUUCGCAGGAGUGGGUGGGUGAGAUUUUGUGGCCUGCGUUAUGCAGGAGGUCAGACUAGAUGAUUAUAAUGGUCCCUUCUGACGUUAGUAUCUACGAAUCUAUGAAUCUAUGACUAGUGUGACUGCAUUUGAGAAAACUAUAACACAGUGUGCAUCCACACUAGCCAUCUAUUUGCAGUCACCCAGUGCAUCAUAAUCCACAGCAUUCUCCGAAAGUGUCACAGGGGGUGUGAAUUGUUGCACCUAACUCACAUAGGUGCUGGGACUACGGGUAUGGGGGGUGCUGCAGCACCCCCUGACUUGAAGUGGUUUCCAUUAUUUACAGUUUACAGUUUUGUUCAAUGGUUCUCAGCACCCCCACUAUAAAAAGCUUCCAAGAGUCAGUGCAUAAUAACUGUGGUCUAUAUUAUUUGCAGUUCUCACAUUUUUGGUUCCUUCCAAUGCAUGAUUCUGUCCAGCACAAGGAUCCACACAUGCACCCAAAAGAACAAGAAAUAAGCCCUGGUAUGAUCUCAUGCUGCCAAUAUAGAUGCCAUGGCAGAGAGUCACCAACCUCCCUCUGAAGCCCUCAACUUUGGGCCUGGAAACCCAAAUUAUUAUGAAGAGCUCAAGGAGGAAACAGGGUUUGCUGCAGAAACUGCCUCUGAGGAGACUGGAUCAAACCGGUCUGGACUAGAACUUUCGCGACACAGAAGGCAUAAAAGGGCUGCACACCCUAUCAGGGGGGCUGUCCGUCUGAGAGGCAGCUAGUGACUGUCACGUUUGCGCGGGCAUCGAGGACUUCCUUCCCACCGAUCUGGGUAUCUUCCACCUGAAUCCACUUACCUGGUUCCUGGUUCCAGUGAUUGCCAACACCAGUGGUCUCCUAGUUCCUGGUUCCAACACAGUGAACGCCCUGAGCUCCAAAAAUAACCCAGGGUUUACUUAUUUUUUAUGGAGCAUGCGUAAUGUACUAGGUAUUGUACAAAACAUAGAGAAAAACAGGGUCCUUGCAUUCAGGAGCUUACAUAUUAAUUAGUCAAAUAAUGCUGAACAAAAACAUAAUACACUGGUUAAUCAGUGAGUAGCCUCAUCUGAGAGCAAUGCACAUAUCUUUUUUUUUUAAUAUGCAUAUUUGUCUUCAUUGGACUAACAUUGACAAGAGUCGUGAAAGACAUUUCAAAUGACAUUCUGCACAAGAAAGUUAUUUGCAUACUCAAUUUGGGUCAAGGAAACAAUAAUGAACCCUUAGGAAUAUUUAUAAUUUUAUUUUAGUUACAGCAUUUGUCACUUUGGGUGAUUUAUGGUGCUAAUAGGAUGAUAGGGUCCACAGUGUCUGUCAGCUGUAAAAGGCCUCCAUUAAAAGCAAGGCUUAAAGCAGUGUCAUUUUCAUGAUCUCUUGGAGAGUGCUUGGGCUAGAUUUAUGCAUGAAUUUAGUACUGGAUUGAAAGUCCUGGAGAAUGACGGUCCUUUUUUUAUCCAGUGAACAGGUGCAGUGACCUUCACUGGCUCAUUAUUGUGCUUCCUCUCUGACCCAAGGGGACCAAUUGUUCAAGCAAGCUUGCAACUUACUUUUCACGUACACUUAUUCUUUGCUGCAGUUUUCAACAAGGGUACCAAUUAGUCCCAAAUGGGAUGAUAUUUUUUGGAGAUUCAGACACCUGUCCAGUGGGAACAAGCCUGAGCCCACCUAACAGUCGUCAGACAGUGAAAACUUCAGGUUACUCACAGCUUGGGCUGGAUUUGAAAAGGUGACAUAGAGCUAAAGGGCUCCAGAGCCCAUUAACAAUCCCCUAAGUCAUUCAUUCCCACUGAGGGCUCCUCUUUUGAAGUUCCCAGGGGCACUCAUAUGACCUCUGUUUAUCUCCUCUCGUAAAAACUCUUAUCUGUCUUACACAGACCUCGCCACUUUUCCUAGUAGUACUCAAAACAGUUAUUACAAUGUAAACAAACUGUGCAUGCUGGUACUCAUUCUCAGUUCCCUUAUCAACUGAACAGCAUGCUCCUCAUACACAUAUUGGGUCAAAUUUACCCGUCAUCUAACUCCAGGGAUUUCAGGGAAGAUAUCUCUGGGCUCAUUUGCUCACUCACCUCCUGAGCAUACAUAAAAUAUAACAACAGUAUUGUAAACCACAUGUCUACGUGGCCCUUCAGACUACAAGAGUGUGAAAAGCAGCACACAUUAAUACGCUGUAAUUUAGGUGGAAACUAAAAGAUAGCUAGUUCACAUUAACAUAGUCCUCUUGAAACAGGACUAUGUGACUUUUAGUCUGUGUCCACAUGUGGUAGUUACAGUGCAGCAUGCAAGUGCACACUGUAGUUCACACCCCUAUAGUCUAUACUGUGGUGCUGUUGUCUAGACAUAGAAAUAGAAUUCCCCCUUGAUCUGAUGUGUCCUUGUUUUGAUGAACCUUGCUAUCCAUCUUAGACAUUUUAAGGAGCUAUCACCUUAGUGGUAUCUAAGCACCACUACAUGCAGCUCUCUGAUUACUGAGGGAUCCCGACUGGCAGGAGGCCAGUUGUCUCACUUCCAUUUUGGAAUGUUCCAUUUUAAUUAGGAUAAUCAUUCUUUUUUUAAAAAAGGUAAACAAAAUAACUGAAUCUCAAAGUACUGGGAGGUUAGAAGCUUUGUUGAAAUACAUUGGUAAUGAUAUAUGGUGUGAAGGGCAGAAUGUAAUACUGAAUGGGAACAAACUCACCCCAUACUAAAGUCAGGGGACUGUAUAAAUCAAAACAUUAGGGACUAAAGUUGAGAGCUAAACUCCCCAGCAGGACUUUUGUAUGGCUUCUUGCCAGCCAGGGGAAAGGUGCCUGCUCAGCUGAGAUGCUGGAAGAGAGGUUAGCUAAAGCUACUGGAAGGGCUAUGCCAAAGGAACUACCUGCUCCAACAGAUACAGACCAGAGCCCAGUCUGCUAAUACUAAGCAGGGGAAAAAGUUCUUCUCGCUACUGACACCAUAUGUCAUAGAGACCAGCUCUCUGAGUUGCCUUUAUAAAAAAAAACAGAUGCUAACUAUAAAUUAUACCAUAAGGGUUUUAUCCUACAAUAAAGUGAUGAUCACUGUCACUUCCUGAACUAUGCUACUUCUUCUGCAGUUGCCUUUUUUAAAAAAUCCUGCUUCUUGUGCCUCAGCUUCCAAUUGGUUAACCUGCUGCACCUGUGCUUCCAGCAGGGCGUGGCUAAUCUGGCCCAUGCAGUCAUUAGUAGCCUGGCAAUCGUCUACGGUAGCUUUUACACAGGAGUAAUGUUUUUGCUAUUUUAUGUUUUAGACAGAAAGCUGAAGGAUUAAAAAAAGAAAGCAAAAGCCUGGCCUGCCUUUCAUAUUACAUUCACCUUUUUCACUCACAAACUAACCGCACAAAACAAGAAGGAGAACUGAAUGUGGUAGAACAAAGGUCCCUAUCCACUGAUUCUAGUAGCUAUGUUACAACAUCCCCAUUGCUGGGCACCUACAUGUAACUAAAAUCCCUAGGGCUAACUUCAUCCCUCAUUAUUAACUUCAAGUGAGCUACACCAAGAAUAAAUCUGACCAGUAUAACAAAGUCUCAGGGUACAUUAGGAAUCCAGUGGAUAUAGAGACUGUUUUGUUUUUUCAUAAAAACAAUUGAUUGUUUUUUGUUGAAAAACCAAACACAUUUUGGCUGAAAACCAAAAAUUUGGGUUUAAUUUUUUAACAUGAAGUGCUUUCAGCAUAAAAACUUGUUUAGUCAAAAACCCACUUUUCCAUUGAAAAACAGUUUAUAUAGAAAAUGUUUGUCCAGCUCUCGUACUGAGUAAAGUCUGAGAUGGAGUCUUUAGCAGCAGUGUCUAUUUCAGCUGUUUCACACUCCUGGCUAGGAACACAGAUUAACGGUUUGUAAGCAUUACAACAAACAAUGAAUACAUGACUACAAUUAAGUGGUGGGGGGGAAUCAAGUAGUACAUAUAAUCAUAAAAAAUCACAUAAAAUUGGUCUGUUUAUUCUAGCAGAAGGGGGUUCUCUAAUUCACGAUAUGGGUGCCAGAACCCUUAAAUUUCAGCACUUCUCUCAGCCAUAUCACUUUAAAGGCAACGAACUGUCUUAUACAAGAAGUGUAUCAUGAGAAGUCCACGUAUUCUCACAGAGAUUUAGUCUUUAAGUCAGCUAACACUUAUGCAUGUGUUUAACUUUACAUACUAUUAGUUCCACUGAAGUCAAUGGUUUUUAUCAAGUGCCUGUCAUGCUGGUAUCUGAGCAUGUAUUAUUAAUAAUUUUUAUAUUUAAUUUGCUAAAAGCCUCCAUUAAAAACGUUUGGAGGUCCUUGGAUGGACUGUGUCACAGACAUGCAAUGUACUUUUAUUAAAUGACACUGUCAGAGCUUUUCUGGUUUAUUAGGUACCUUUCACAGAGACACCUUCUCAUUAGGCUGGAACAGAACAGCUCCCAGCAGGAUGACACAGCCUGUUUAUCAUUAGUCUUAAAUUUAUAUCUGCUUACCAUUCAUCUAUUUGAUACUACCUUUGAAUCAUAAUUUAAUGACCUUAUCUUAAAUGUUCUCUGAUACAGUGUCUCAAUCUCUCUUUUUUAUAUCUUUGUGUAGUUUCUUUUUUUGUCAUGGAACAGAAGGUUGGAUGAAUUGUUCCAGUGUCCAUUAAAAUUUCCAUUGCCUGCUGUGCAGUGUCUUCUAGGAAGGAGAUGAACCUGCUGCAAAUGAAAUCAGUUGAGGCUGCAUUGUAUUUAUAGAGCAGCAGAAAUCUUUGUAGAUUAUUUUUUCCAAGAAUCAUGAAUCUCCUUCAGUGUUACAAGUCACUGUAAUCAAUUAAUAGGAGUAAUAUUUUCAUUUUCAAUUAAAAUACAGGCCAUGCACAGUCUGUGUGCAUCUUAGCAGAUGUUUAAAAGCAUUGGCUCUCAGAGGUGAAAUGUUACCUUAUAUCUGAUGGGGGUGGUGAGAGGGUGUUUCAGGAGCAGAAAGACAUGUUAAAGUGCAGCACUUCAGACUGUCUUCUUUUCUGAAUUUACAGCAUUAGACUGGCAGCUGUAUAAAUGAAUGAUAGACUGCAAUGUUCUUUUCCAAGCAGGCUAUGAAAUGAGGGAGCCUUCAGUUUUGUGCUGAUGUGUCCAGAAUUCAAAUAAUUUGUUUCUUGGGUAUAAUGACAAUUGGAAGCACGGUAUUACCUUGAGAAAAGAGAUGGGAGAGACAGCUGCAGUACCCUGUACUCAUGAAAGAUAUUGCAUUAGCAACUGCUUCCCAAUUACUCUUUCCACUGAAAACUCUAUUAUGCUGGGCUCUUAUUGCCUUUAUUCAAGGGCACAAAAUUAAAAAGUGAUAUUGCUGGCACUACUCUCAUCUUCCUACCAUGACAUUGAAUAAUUGGACAAUGAAAGAAAAUGUUGAAUGAUGCUGAUAUUAAACACAUAUAAAGGACAAUGCAUCUGAACAUCAGCUGAUGAAGUAACGUCCACAUUAUUAUGCAUUCCCUUCUACUACUUUAAAAUAAAUUGUUUUUAUUUUU